AGUACAUUGUUCAACUACCGUCAGGAAAGCAUUUACGGAAUAUCUAGCAAAUUUGUUUCUUGUUCGGUUAGAGUUAAUGGGAUCUUGCCAACAUUGCCUAUAAUAUGUCACUUUUGACAAGAAGUUGAGCAGGCUUUAUAAAUUCCCUUUUCUGUGGGAGCUUUUGUGCCACCGUUUGUGCACAAGGCUAAGAUGAAUAUGACUGAAUAGAACUGGUUAGGACUACGUACUUCAGUUAAAAAUUAUUUCAGCGUAAAGAAUGAAGCAGAUUUUUGCCAGAAGAUGGAGGCACUUCACCAGCCAAUGUGAUCUAAACACUCCAAUCUGAGGUCAGGGAUCUCAGCUCCAAGUGGUCGAUGGUUUGAUGUACUCAUUUCCUUCUCUGAAGAUCUCAAGUUUGAACGUGAGUUUCAAGCAUCACUUAAUAGGGACGUCAAUACUGGCUAACAAGUCGUAGCUGUCCUCACAAGGCGUCUCCAAGGAAUUCAGGAAGCAAACAGGUGUGCACCAGCGUCAGGCCUGCGGACAUCCCCUCUGGGCUGCAGCAUUUCUUCGCUCCACACCUGUUAUCGGGCCGCCCUCAACUUCUUCUUCCAUUCCUGUCACACGGAGAUAGCACGUGCUGGCAGGAAACACCCUGUCUGCCUCUGGGUGCAGAGAGCCCUGGACGUUCGCUGUGUCGUGGAGCCAGGCGGACUGUGCUAAACUUACAUUCAGCUCAAGCCUGCCUGCCUUUGUGUGAGCCCCACACAGCUGCUGGGUGACUCCUUCUUAGGCAGGCUGGAGAGCAGCCAUCAGACUCCACAGGUGUCCUGUCACGGUAGGGACCCAUGCAAAGAGUUUCUCCCGCAAGACGGGACAGUGAGGUCUGCCUCAGCCCCGUGAGAGAGGCUGAAGUUACAGAGUUUUCACGGGUCUGAUUUGGUAAGGUGCUCGCCAUGUCUGAAUGCUGAGCAUUCUCACCCGAAGGGUUGUGAACAGGUGUAGACAUGAACUGCAGAACUACCUGAAAUGACAAAGCUCUACAUCAGCUGGUGACUGCACGGCUUCCACAGAGAGCUUCCGGAAGGAUGGUGAAGGUGUUCCAGAGCCACGCCACUGUCCAGCGAGAGGGAGACGCGUCGGAGGGACUACUGCCCCGUGGAGCGACUUUGGAAAGAACAGGCGCUGAUUCGUGUGUGAACAAUAAAACGUUUUGAACAUUCUCAGCAUUAGCUCGGUUACCUCCCUAAGUAUCAUUAAAUAGUAACUGUAUUUACCGUUUCAUUUACUAUUACACUAUCGCAGCUUAAUUUUUUAAUAUUAGUUUUGAUCUGAUUGUAAGUAAUAGUGUUUACUUCUAAGUAAAAAGGUAACCCCAAAUAUAAAAUAAAAACGUUCAUAACCUUGUCUACUCAACUCUCAACCAUUGUCAACAGUGGUUAAUUUUGAGUAUAUACUUUGAGUCUUUGCCCUGGCUUAGAUGUACAGAACUUUUUAACAUAAAAAUAAGAUCACACUAUAUAUGAAGAUUUGUAAUAUUUAAUGCAGUAUUGUAAAUAUUUUCCCAUAUCAAUAAAUUAUUCUUGGAAUGAUUAAAAUAUAGAGUUUCUCCAAUUGUUACACAGUGUUUCAUCUUAUGGAUGUACCAUCAUUUAUCUUAAAAAUCUCUUAUAGUAGAACGCAUAGGUUAUUUUCAACUUUUUACUAAAUUAAAUAUUCACAUUACAGUAAUAACAGAUAAAUCUAUGUAGACAUUGACGAUGACUCCGUAGGCUAAGUUCUGAAAAGUGGAAGUUACGGAUCACAGACUUUAUUAAGUAGUAGGGCCAAACUGGUCCCCUAAAAGGGCAUAUUCUUGCCAGCGUGGAGACCCACCCUUGCAGAGAAUAGGUGUUAGCAAUUACCUGAUGUUUGCUAAUUUGGUUGGGAGAGAUACAAUAUUUUAAUUUCAUUAAUUUGAUCAUUUGUGAGAAUAAACUUUUUUUCCGUAGGUUAAUUGAGUAUUUAUUUCUGUAUAUUCUUUGUGUAUUGUCUAUCAUGUUCUUUGCUCAUUUUUUCCCUGGAACAUGUGUCUUUUUCUAUUGAUCUUUAUCUAUUAAUUGUAUUGUCUUUGUCAUUAAAUUAUCCUUCCAGUUUGUUGUUUGCUUUUAAAUAUAAUUUAUGCAAUAAAUUCCUUCUUAAAUCUAAAUCUGUCUUGUCCCUUACGGAGUCUACUUUAGCAUGUACACAUAAAGGAACUUAGUAUCUUUAAUAACUUUUAUCAGAGUCCUUUAUUGUUCCUCAAUCAAUUCCUCGCUAUUUCAUUAUAUAACUUUUUAAAAGUCAUGAGUUAAGUCAUUUUUUUUUAAGAUUUUAUUUUUUUCCUUUUUCUCCCCAAAGCCCCCCGGUACAUAGUUGUAUAUUCUUCGUUGUGGGUCCUUCCAGUUGUGGGAUGUGGGACGCUGCCUCAGCGUGGUUUGAUGAGCAGUGCCAUGUCCGUGCCCAGGAUUCCAACCAAGGAAACACUGGGCCGCCUGCAGCGAGCGCGCGAACUUAACCACUCCGCCACAGGGCCAGCCCUAAAUCAUUUUUGAAAAUCGUGAGUUACAUUUAGGUUUUACACACCUAUUCAGUUCAGUCUAACAGAUUUUUUCCGCAUUCUUCCUACUUUCAGUCUAGCACAGUGUUAGGAGCUAGAGAUAAGAGAAAACUAAUCCAUGAGAGAGGGCUAAUCCAGGAGAGAAGAUAAUCCAGGAGAAAGGGCGAUCCAGGAGAGAGGGCGAUCCAGGAGAGAGGGCGAUCCAGGAGAGAAGGUGAUCCAGGCGAGAGGGCGAUCCAGGAGAGAGGGCGAUCCAGGAGAGAGGGCGAUCCAGGAGAGAGAGUGAUCCAGGAGAGAGGGCGAUCCAGGAGAGAGGGCAAUCCAGGAGAGAAGGUGAUCCAGGAGAGAGGGCGAUCCAGGAGAGAGGGUGAUCCAGGAGAGAGGGCGAUCCAGGAGAGAAGGUGAUCCAGGCGAGAGGGCGAUCCAGGAGAGAGGGCAAUCCAGGAGAGAGGGCGAUCCAGGAGAGAAGGUGAUCCAGGAGAGAGGGUGAUCCAGGAGAGAGGGUGAUCCAGGAGAGAGGGCGAUCCAGGAAAGAGGGCGAUCCAGGAGAGAGGGCGAUCCAGGAGAGAGGGUGAUCCAGGAGAGCGAGUGAUCCAGGAGAGAGGGUGAUCCAGGAGAGAGG
rnacentral:lncRNA from 1 species